rfam:Helianthus annuus linkage group 5, whole genome shotgun sequence.
GGUUGUGUAUGAUGAUAUCUUAUGUCUAACAGUUAUCCCUGUCUGAUAAUUCUUGAUGUUUGCAUUUAAUCUGACUCAUAC